rnacentral:rRNA from 1 species
GAUGAACGCUGACAGAAUGCUUAACACGUGCAGGUCGACUGGAAUUCUUCUUCGGAAGAUAGUACGGUGGCGGACGGGUGAGUAACGCGUAGAGAAUUUGCCCUUCAGACUGGGACAACUAACCGAAAGGCUAGCUAAUACCGGAUAUUAUGAGACCUUGGCAUCAAGGACUUAUGAAAGCUAUAUGCGCUGAAGAAGAACUUUGCGUCCCAUUAGGUAGUUGGUAGGGUAAUGGCCUACCAAGCCGACGAUGGGUAGCCGGCCUGAGAGGGUGAACGGCCACAAGGGGACUGAGACACGGCCCUU